rnacentral:rRNA from 1 species
AUUGAACGCUGGCGGCAUGCCUUACACAUGCAAGUCGAACGGCAGCAUGGAGGAGCUUGCUCCUCUGAUGGCGAGUGGCGAACGGGUGAGUAAAGCAUCGGAACGUACCGUGUAGUGGGGGAUAACGUAGCGAAAGUUACGCUAAUACCGCAUACGCACUGAGGUGGAAAGCAGGGGAUCGCAAGACCUUGCGCUAUACGAGCGGCCGAUGGCAGAUUAGCUAGUUGGUAGGGUAAAGGCCUACCAAGGCGACGAUCUGUAGCGGGUCUGAGGGGAUGAUCCGCCACACUGGGACUGAGACACGGCCCAGACUCCUACGGGAGGCAGCAGUGGGGAAUUUUGGACAAUGGGGGAAACCCUGAUCCAGCCAUGCCGCGUGAGUGAAGAAGGCCUUCGGGUUGUAAAGCUCUUUCGGCUGGGAAGAAAUCGCACAGGCUAAUACUCUGUGUGGAUGACGGUACCAGCAUAAGAAGCACCGGCUAACUACGUGCCAGCCGCCGCGGUAAGAC